rnacentral:rRNA from 1 species
AGUGAACGCUGGCGGUAGGCCUAACACAUGCAAGUCGAACGGCAGCACAGAGGAGCUUGCUCCUUGGGUGGCGAGUGGCGGACGGGUGAGGAAUACAUCGGAAUCUACUCUGUCGUGGGGGAUAACGUAGGGAAACUUACGCUAAUACCGCAUACGACCUACGGGUGAAAGCAGGGGAUCUUCGGACCUUGCGCGAUUGAAUGAGCCGAUGUCGGAUUAGCUAGUUGGCGGGGUAAAGGCCCACCAAGGCGACGAUCCGUAGCUGGUCUGAGAGGCUGAGCGGCCACACUGGAACUGAGACACGGUCCAGACUCCGACGGGAGGCAGCAGUGGGGAAUAUUGGACAAUGGGCGCAAGCCUGAUCCAGCCAUACCGCGUGGGUGAAGAAGGCCUUCGGGUUGUAAAGCCCUUUUGUUGGGAAAGAAAUCCAUCUGGUUAAUACCCGGGUGGGAUGACGGUACCCAAAGAAUAAGCACCGGCUAACUUCGUGCCAGCCGCCGCAGUAA